UGGGGAAUUUUUCGCAAUGGGCGCAAGCCUGACGAAGCAACGCCGCGUGGAGGAUGAAGGUCUUCGGAUUGUAAACUCCUGUCGACCGGGACGAAUGCACCCGACCUAAUACGUCGAAGUGUUGGCGGUACCGGUGGAGGAAGCCACGGCUAACUCUGUGCCAGCAGCCGCGGUAAUACAGAGGUGGCAAGCGUUGUUCGGAAUUACUGGGCGUAAAGGGCGCGUAGGCGGCAUGACAAGUCACUUGUGAAAUCUCUGGGCUUAACCCAGAACGGCCAAGUGAUACUGUCGCGCUAGAGUGCAGAAGGGGCAAUCGGAAUUCUUGGUGUAGCGGUGAAAUGCGUAGAUAUCAAGAGGAACACCUGAGGUGAAGACGGGUUGCUGGGCUGACACUGACGCUGAGGCGCGAAAGCCAGGGGAGCAAACGGGAUUAGAUACCCCUGUAGUCCCUGAGCGGGCUGGCAAGGCGCAU
rnacentral:rRNA from 1 species